rnacentral:piRNA from 1 species
UGCCCGUUUCUACAACCUGCGCCGACGU